rnacentral:rRNA from 1 species
UCAAGCCUAAGACUAGCGUGACCCACGGCCGCAAGGACGGAGACAUAAGCGAUAAUCUUGAUUAUCAUGAUCCCUCCGUUGGUACGAAGAGCAUUCUUAUAAUGCUCUUCGUGCCAACGGGGGAUCUACUCCGUGCCUCGAGCCAUCCUCACCCGUAAGGGUGAGGGUUGCUCCAGUCUUGUAACCACCACCCUAACGGGUGGCGGUUGCUUGACUUCAAGGCCUGCAGGCCUUACCUGCAGGGACCUGUCAAGGGCGCCGCUCCCUUGCCCAAUGGGCAUCGGUAAAUCGAAGGUGAGAACCAUCUCAAGGCCUUCUUCGAAGAAGGCCUAUCUUCAAGGCUAAGAUCAACCGAUCUUAGGACCCGAUGGGGACCAUCUCUCGGCGCCGCACUGUACUAAACUAACUAAAGUGGGGGAUAGUGAGGGGAUAAAUUUCCUUAAGGAACUCGGCAAAAUCCCAAUGGCCCACCAGGGCAUUUAACUUUUGUAGCAAGGUAUCAAGGUACCUUCUACGAAGGUGGGGUCCGGUAGGACCCUACCUCCACCCUAACGGGUGGCGGUUACUUGUAUUGGAACACGGGCCUCGACUGUUUACCAAAAACAUAGCCCUCGGCCAAUAUGAAAAUAGAAGUAUGGAGGGCGAGGCCUGCCCAAUGGUUGUAUCUAAAAGCGGCUGAUGAAAGUCGAUCUCGUAAGGACAAUUGAAUGGCCGCGGUAACACUGACCGUGAUAAUGUAGCGUAAUCAAUAGCCAAUUAAUUGUUGGCCAGUAUGAAUGGCGCCACGAAGGCCCCACUGUCUUAAGGAAAUUCCCAGUGAAAUUGAAUUCGUAGUGAAGAUGCUACGUCCAAUUUGUUAGACGAAAAGACCCCGUUGAGCUUUACUGGGGCACUUACACGGCCCCCGGCCUUCGAGACUAGGUUGAUAAGCCUGUGGCUAUGACCAAAGGUCUACCAUACCUAGGGACCGGCUGAAUUUAAAUGGGCGGCUUAGACUAUGUGGCAGCCCCCCGUCGGGGCAGAUGAAACCCCACUCCCCCAUGUCAAAGGGGCUAACCCCCCUUGGGGGGGACAAUGUAAGUAGGACAGUUUGGUUGGGGCGACCGCCUUUUAGAGAGUAACGAAGGUGCGCUUAAGGUGCGCAAUUAAUGACUGAAGCCUGACUGCGAGGGGGAUACCCCGAGCAGACACCCCCAAGCCCGCCCUCCCAGAAGGCAUAGCCUUCUGGGAGGGCGGCGGUGGGGUGGGCCAUAGUGACCCGUUAAUUUAGAGUGGAAUAGUUAACGAUCAACGAAUAAAAGUUACCACGGGGAUAACAGCGUAAUAUCGUUAGAGAGUUCACAUCGACGACGAUGUUUGCGACCUCGAUGUG